CCCCCUUGCGAUGGGGUGAAUGGCAGAACGCAAACUGCCUAAGAAGUGGGAGCGCGUAAAGAAGCGCAGGUCCGGCUGCGCCCGCGAAGUACUGCGGUGCAGCGGCCAAUGGUACAAAAAUUGCGGCAAAGGCGUCGGGACCGGUACUCCCGGCGCUUUUGU
rnacentral:ncRNA from 1 species